rnacentral:rRNA from 1 species
AGAGUUUGAUCCUGGCUCAGGAUGAACGCUAGCGGGAGGCUUAACACAUGCAAGUCGAGCGGGAUCCCCUUCGGGGGUGAGAGCGGCGCACGGGUGCGAAACGCGUAUGCAACCUGCCUUAUGCAGGGGGAUAGCCCAUGGAAACGUGGAUUAAUACCCCAUAGAAUAUAUGAGUCGCAUGGUUUAUAUAUUAAAACUGAGGUGGCAUAAGAUGGGCAUGCGUAGGAUUAGCUAGUUGGUGAGGUAACGGCUCACCAAGGCGACGAUCCUUAGGGGUUCUGAGAGGAUAAUCCCCCACACUGGUACUGAGACACGGACCAGACUCCUACGGGAGGCAGCAGUGAGGAAUAUUGGUCAAUGGGCCGCGAGCCUGAACCAGCCAUCCCGCGUGCAGGAUGACGGCCCUAUGGGUUGUAAACUGCUCUUCUACUCCAAGAAACCUGACUACGUGUAGCCAGNNUGCCGGUAGAGUAGGAAUAAGCAUCGGCUAACUCCGUGCCAACAGCCGCGGUAAUUCGGAAGGAAUGCAAGCGUUAUCCGGAUUAUUGGGUUUAAAGGGUGCGCAGGUGGGCUUGUAAGUCAGUGGUGAAAUACUGCCGCUUAACGGUAGAAUUGCCAUUGAUACUGUGAGUCUUGAGUAUGGUUGAGGUAGGUGGAAUGUGCAGUGUAGCGGUGAAAUGCAUAGAUAUUGCACAGAACUCCGAUUGCGAAGGCAGCUUACUAAGCCAUUACUGACGCUGAGGCACGAAAGCGUGGGUAGCGAACAGGAUUAGAUACCCUAGUAGUCCACGCCGUAAACGAUGAGUACUAAGUGUUGGGGUUUCCCAGUGCUGAAGUUAACACACUAAGUACUCCGCCUGAGUAGUACGGUCGCAAGGCUGAAACUCAAAGGAAUUGACGGGCACCCGCACAAGCGGUGGAGCAUGCUGUUUAAUUCGAAGAUACGCGAAGAACCUUACCUAGACUUGACAUGCCGAUGACCGGCUUAGAAAUAAGCUUUUCCCUUCGGGGACAUCGGACACAGGUGGUGCAUGGUUGUCGUCAGCUCGUGCCGUGAGAUGUUUGGUUAAGUCCAAUAACGAGCGCAACCCCUUUCCUUAAUUGCUAACAUUUAGUUGAGAACCUUAAGGAUACUGCCGGUAAUAAACCGGAGGAAGGUGGGGAUGACGUCAAAUCAUCAUGCCCCUUACGUCUAGGGCAACAGGCGUGCUACAAUGGCCGGUAUAAAAUGAUGCAAUAUCGUGAGAUGGAGCAAAUCACCAAAGCCGGUCUCAGUUCGGAUUGGAGUCUGCAACUCGACUCCAUGAAGUUGGAAUCGCUAGUAAUCCCGAAUCAGAAUGUCGGGGUGAAUACGUUCCCGGGUGUUGUACACACCGCCCGUCACGCCAUGGGAGUUUGUAAUACAUGAAGCUGGUAGCCUAACCUUUUAGGAGGGGGCCAUCGAAUGUAGGACAGAUGACUGGGGUGAAGUCGUAACAAGGUAACC